rnacentral:misc_RNA from 1 species
AACUUCCACCUGGCAUACCUCUUCAUUUAUGGUCAUGACUUGUAUUGUCUUGAGCGUAUUGUGGGUUUCCUGUGUUGCAUACCUAACUAAUGGUAUCGUUUUGAUUGAUCGAAGUYCCUUUUCGUCUUGUGUUGCCUUUGUGAUGCACGAUGAACCUCGAAGCGGUCUCUAUGUUCCACCAUGUUGAUGCUAGUGUUUUGAUGUUGUGGGCCAUUGAGUGUUGCUUGGUUUCGUGGAUACAGAACAUGAUUUGGGCAUAGGGUCACUUGUGACUCUUGUUCUGUCCUUUAUCAGUGUUCUUUAUAACGACGGUUCAUGCGCGCCUAGGCUCGUACCUGCGCGAUGUUCUUUGUUGAAAUGGAAUGCUACCUGGUUGAUCCUGCCAGUAGUCAUAUGCUUGUCUCAAAGAUUAAGCCAUGCAUGUGUAAG